rnacentral:rRNA from 1 species
AUUGAACGCUGGCGGCAGGCCUAACACAUGCAAGUCGAACGAGUGGCGGACGGGUGAGUACUGUCUGGGAAACUGCCCGAUGGAGGGGGAUAACUACUGGAAACGGUAGCUAAUACCGCCUACCAUCGGAUGUGCCCAGAUGGGAUGAGCUAGUAGGUGGGGGAACGGCUCACCUAGGCGACGAUCCCUAGCUGGUCUGAAGUGAUGACCAGCCACGCUGGAACUGAGACACGGUCCAGACUCCGACUGGAGGCAGCAGUGGGGAAUAUUGGACAAUGGUCGCAAGCCUGAUGCAGCCAUGCCUCGUGUAUGAAGAAGGCCUUCGGGUUGUAAAGUACUGUUAGCGAGGAGGCGUUACUCGCAGAAGAAUCACCUGCUAACUCCGUGCAAGCCGCCGCGGUAAUUC